AGCGAACGCUGGCGGCAGGCCUAACACAUGCAAGUCGAACGAACCUUUCGGGGUUAGUGGCGGACGGGUGAGUAACACGUGGGAACGUGCCUUUAGGUUCGGAAUACCUCAGGGACAUGGGUGCUAAUACCGAAUGUGUUCUUCGGGGGAAAGAUUUAUCGCCUUUAGAGCGGCACGCGUCUGAUUAGCUAGGUGGUUGAGGUAAUGGCUCACCAGGGCGACGAUCAUUAGCUGGUCUGAGAGAAUGAGCAGCCACAUUUGGACUGAGACACGGCCCAAACUCCUACGGGAAGGAGCAGUGGGGAAUCUUGCGCAAUGGGCGAAAGCCUGACGGAGCCAUGCCGCGUGAAUGAUGAAGGUCUGAGGAUAGUAAAAUUCUUUCACCCGCGACGAUAAUGACGGUACCCGGAGAAGAAGCCCCGGCUAACUUCGUG
rnacentral:rRNA from 1 species